ensembl:lncRNA DHCR24-DT DHCR24 divergent transcript
GACUGGGUGCCGGUGGGGUCCGCUGCGAAUACUGGGGGUGGGCAGUUGGGACUCAGGGCCCCAGGCCCUCGGGGCUGCGGGGCCGCCUCUUCCAAACGCGCCUUAAGCGGUUUUGCAGUGGCUUUCCGCCGGAGGGCUGGGAGGCGCCCCGGCCCUGAGUCAGUCACCCUUUGGCCGGACAGGCGGUUCCCGGGCGCGGAGGAUGGAAACCUGGCGGUAACCUCUGCAGGUCGUGCCACUCGGUGUGCGCAAGGUCUCCAGAGGCAUCUUUUCAUUUUUAGGGGGCACUUUCCACGAAUUCAUUUGAGCUACACAGCAGUCCUGGGCAGUGGGGAGUGGUGAGCUCCAUUGUGUACACUUGGAAGCAGCCCAGAAAGCUUCUAGCACGGUGCUUUGUGCACAGUAAACACUCCAGCGGCUGUUGACCAAUGAAUGAAUGAAGAUUGUAGGCUCAAAUAUUCAAGUUAUCAAAGUGCAAAGAAUGAGAGGUUGUUUGCACUGGACUUCAAAAAUAAAUAGCCUGGACCUGUACUGUCUUACACAACAGCUAUGAGCUACUGGGCUUGUUUACUAAGUAAACAAGAAGAGGGCCUGGGAGGAGAGUCUGAUGAGCAAGGGGAAGGUAGCCAAGGAUGGAGUGAAAUACAAGAGACCACCAAGUUUUAGAUGAUCAUGCAACAAAGCUUCCAGCCAGUUCCAGGUGAAGACACCACCCCUGACCAUCAAGAAGCUACCCCGCCUCCACUAGACAGAGCAGGGAGAGAGUUCCGUCAUCCUUAAUAGGUAGAGACUAUGCCGCAAGCCAGCAUGAAGCAGUUACAGAAAAAAGACGAUUGGUCCCUCUGCCUCCCAUGAAGAUUUAUGGGGAUCACAUCUCUUACAGAGGAAAUGAGGCAGGAAAAUAGGGUCUGGAGGCAGGGAAUAUAAGGCAGAUUCACGCUUCAGCUAUGACAGGAAAUAUCCUCUCCAUAGGGCAGAUGCAGAGUAAAUGACUAUGUAACUUUACUUCACCCUCUUCAUUUACACAGGGCAUACACCAGCUAACCAGUGGAAUCCUCUAGAGGGUAUUUAAACUCCCAAAAAUUCUGUAACAGGGCCCCGGUCCCACAUUGUGGAGUGUACUUUCAUUGUCAAUAAAAUUUCUUCAUUCUUUC